GUCCCCUUCAUUCACAAAUGGAUCUGUAGAACAUGGAGAUAUUUGUAACCAAGAAAAUAUACCAUUAUUAAGGUAACAAAAGGCUUCUUGCAACAAAAGAAAAUGUAAUUUAGCGAAUGCAUAGAAUAAACAAAAAAACAGUCAGCCAAGGGCACUUAAACAGGUUGGUACCAUUUAUUAGUCACUGGAUUACAGUCUGCAGGGGACAGGAAAACACAACAGAACAGUAUCACUAUACCUGUCCCGAUCUUAUCCUUUUACCCGGGAAUGUGCUGGUGGCUAUUGUCAGUGAAAAGAUUCUGGGCUAAGAUGCUAGCAAUUUGCUAGAUUGUUAAUGUUUCUUUCCACACCAGUACCCUCUGUUUUGCUGCUUCUUAAGAUAUGCUGAGAUAAAGCCAAUGGGCAGUGUCUAGACAUCACAUACCUAUGGCCUUUGAAAGUCAUUUGAUUCACUAGGUCUGUGUUAUGCAUGCAUGGGUUUAAUAAGGUUCUUAUCAGAUUUUCAGUACUAUUGUACAGUAGGCAAGAAAGACAAAAGAAGUGAAGAAUCCUUACCUUUGAUUUCAUACCUGUUAGACACAGCUAUAGACUAUAGACACAGCUACAUGUUUCCUGCUAUCCUGUUUGAGGGGCUUAAGUAUGAUACGACCACCUUUGUAUGCUAAGGAUAUUCUCCUUUUUCAACUUCACACAGGAUUGAAUCUGUUAGCAAAUCUGGGCACAGCUUGCUAAUUUGGCUUAGUUUAUCAUACGUGCAUUACAUCUUGCCACCUUCUCCAUCCCCUCCCCCCCUUUUUUAUUACCAAAGUGUCCUCCAGAUGGUUUUGUUUCGCUGAAUGAGAAAACAGAAAUUUUGCAAAGCGUGGUAUCUCCUUGUGCAACAAUUGGAAAGACAAUUUCAGGGUCAUUACUGGAUCUUCAGGCACUUAAGGUCUGCUCCUAACUCAAAGCCUUCAGUCGGGACAGCGGGACAGUGACUGCGCAAUACCUACCCAGGACACAAGGGAGUUGCUCCUAAAAACAGCCUUCCUCUGUAAGACCUGUUGUGCUUUGUAUCAGACAUUUCACAGGAGGCAGGUUUUGGAUAAUAUUUACUUGUAUUUCUUAGUGAAACAGUACUGGGAUUGUUACAGUUGCAAUGCUUAUUCCCCUUCCUUGUUGACUGCAGAUAUUCUGUCAUAACAGUGUGUUCCUACAGGUUUAUGAAGAAGGAGAAAGGAGAAGGGAAAGGGGAAGGGGAAGGGGAAGGGAAAGGAGAAGGGGAAGGAAAAAAGGAAGGGAAAGUGAAGGGCUCGGUGCAUUGGCCAUUGCUCUUUGGAGCCCAUUCCAGGGCCCAACCACCCCCUAGUGAAGAAUCUUUUCCUACCCCAACCUGCCCCUCCCCUAACUCAGCUCCAUGCCAUUCCCUCAGCCCCUGUCGCUGUCACGGAGAGCAGAGCUCAGUACUGCCCAUCCACUCCCUGUGAGGAGCUGCAGCUGCCAUGAGGCCUCAGCUCAGCUCCUCUGCUCUGCGCUGAGCCAGCCAAGGGACCUCAGCCUGUCCUCACAUGUCUUUGCCCCCAGACCCUUCACCACCUUUGCUAUCCUUCUUUGGAUACUUUCUAGUAGUCUUAUGUCCUAAUACUGCAGUGCCAAAAGGUGCAUGCAGUGCUCAGUGUGAGGCCACACAGUGCAGAACAGAGCAGGACAACCCCUUCCCUCUCCCAGCACUGAUACACUCCGGGUAUGGUUGGCCUUUUGGGCUGCCAGGGCACACUGCUGUCUCAUGUUCAGCUUGUUGCGACAUGCUCUGAGACAUUCCUUUCAUCCGUCGAAUGUAGGCUACCUACUGGAGGUAGGAGGCGGUAUAAGGGUAAGAUAUUUCAGGUUGCACCGUCAUCCAAAGGAGCUGUGCCCAUCACCUUCAACAGGCUGUCAGAAAAGCAAGUUACUUUCCCACGCCUACAUGGAACCUGGUCCUAUGAUGCACUGCUUAUGCACACAUAUUUCAGUAGUAUUAAGCUGUAUGCUGGAAAUGAAAGUAACUGUAAAACACAACUAAUCCUUUAUCAAGAUCACGGAAAUUCUGAAAAAGACACACACAAAAUAAAGAACAAGACAAGGUUUGAAGUAGUAUCCCAAGAUUUGUGAAAUGAAAUUGAUUUCCAUUCAAAUCAGGUCUUUUACUUUUCUUGAAAAUGUCAAGGUGUCAGCCUUAGCCAUUACCAGACUGUGAUUUAUAGUAGAGACAAAGCGAUAAUACUCAGGUGACUGUCUGGGACUGUACUGCUGUGUCUGGAAAGGCUACAGAUGACAGCCAUCUCUUUUCUUAACCAACUCGCGUUGCUUAUCUUAGGAUCAGCCUCCACACACUUCUCCUCCCUAAAUCCUUGAUAGAGAAAUGAUAAAGCAUAUAGGCUUGAAGAUUUACUGAGAUCAGGCAAAUAAGCAUUGUAAAGGGAGUAGGCUACAGAACUUGGGAGAAACACAUUAAAAAUAAUCCUCUAGCUAACUGUAUCUUAGCUAUUUGGAUGAAUAUCUGUAAAAUGUAAGACCAAUUGCCUGCUUUCAGCACAUGGAUAUGUUUUAAUCCAUCUGUACGAUCUAUUUCUGUAACUAAAGUAUACUAGAAGAAAGAAAAUACUUAAACCAAGGAAGUUUUCAAAUAGCAAGAAUAGUACACCUGUUGUAAUUUCCUUUUGAAAUUAAACACAAUUUAUUCAAUAAAUAAAAUACUGGAAGUUAAAAGUUACUUGGCUAUUAUUUGGUCAAACACUGCUAAGCUAAUUCUGUUAGUUCUCUCCUUGGCAUGAAAAUCAGCUUGCAUAAAGGUAAUGGAAGUACCAAUAGUUAAGAUGCUAAACUCCUACUAAUUUUGACUGGAAUUAUGUACCUUCAAGUAGCUCAGACAAGCCUUUUUCAAAUCUACUUCUCUCAUCAUCUUCAGCUGCAGUUGUAGUCUCAGUAUAGUGGAAUGAAAGAGAAAAUAUGAUAUAUGAGUAAGAAAAUCAGCUAAAAGAAAGAGGAAUUACUAGCACAUCUAAUUAUACCACUCCUGAAUUCCUGACACUGGGUGUCUGGUCCUGCUACUAGUAUUUGCAGAGGAAGCUGAUAAAUUGAGAAGAGUUUACAAAAAAAAGAAAAAAAAAAGUUAGCAACAAUAUCUUCCAGUAAGGAACUGAAGACAAUCUCAUUAGUUUAGCAUUGAAAAAGCUAAGAAAUGACUGAAAGCAAGUGACCAUUUAAAUUAUCAAGAAAAAAUUCAGUAGCUGGAAGCAGAUGCUAAGCAAAUUCCAAUUAGAACUAUAGCAUAAUUUUCUAAUAGUGAAGUAAUUGACUAAUGGGACAUUAUUCCUCAGGAGGUUAUGGAUUCUUUGUCAUUCUGAAUCCUAAAAUAUACAUGCAAGCCAAACAGAAAUUGCUGGCAUUGAUGUGGGAGUUGCUUGGUGAAUUUUGGUUGUGCAUGUUUUAUGGAGGAAGUCAGACUAGAUAAUCGAGUUUGCCUUGGCAGCAGACAUACGAUAUUUCUACUAUGUGUGGGAGAUGCAAUGGAGGAGAUAAGGUUAAAAAAUAAAAAAGAGGGAAGGAAAGAAAUAGGAGCUGUCUGGCUGUCUUCUUUGCAUAGUGAAUGUAACGUGCAAGCCUUGUGCAGUACCAUGUUUUAUACUAGAGUAAACUGUAGAUGGGAUAGAGCGCAGGAUGGCAUUCAGGCACAAGUUCUGCCACAUAGCAGGAGAGUCUGCAAGUCCACUAAAAAGACACAGGCAGAUGUUAAAGUCUGCUGCCACUGCAUAAUCCAAGAUGGAUUGUCAGAUCAAUGACUUUUUUGGCUAUAGCCAAAUCAUACAGAGUGGGGGCACACCUAAAGCUACAUUUUAGAAAAAAAUCUGAUCUUGGUGAAGAGCUAAUACAUUUAUUUUGUUACUAGCUAUUGCAGAAAAUCAUUAGGGCAUUUUAAAAAUAUUAAUCAGCAAAAUAAUUAAAUGUGGAUGCCAAACAAAGUUGAAGUCUCAGUGAAACCUAAAUGAAUACUGGGAUAUGAGAUCUCAUAAUUUGUUAAAAUGUGCACCCCUGUCUUCUCAGGCACAGUUAGUGCAAACACCCAAAGAAUAAAAUAGCACACUGACCACUGACUGCUUCUCUAUUGUGAUUUGCACUAUACUGCAGCCUCAGAACUCUAAUGAAAGUCCAGGUCCCACUGUGCCCACUGUUGUGCUCUCAGUUUGCAGCAACUCCCAUGCAAAAUGGCCUCGGGUUUGCACAGGAGGUGUUUCGGGGAAGGAAAGGAAAGGUUCACUCUCUGAAAUGGAGCUCAAGAGAAUUGUCUGCGUUCUUGCUGGGUGCCAGAAAGUGACUCGGAAUUUUUGGCCAUUGGUGUAGGGAAGAAGAGCACGUAGGCAGCAGUUUGGAAACAUUUGAAGGGUUUUAAAAAAGUUUUAGUUAUUGCAUGUAGUAAUUUUGAUUUCCCACUAGCAUUUAAGGAAUGAUUACCAAAUUUUAGAAAGCCAAACUGCAGUCUUCGGAAUUUAUUAACUCAUAAAAAUCUACCGAAGUGCAAUACCAAGAUACCAGCAACACCCACAAGAACCCUCACCCUAUGAGUCAGUGCGAGAGAUUUCCAGUGCCACAUUGGUAACCAGUUUUGCCUUUAAACAUUUGUCCAUUUUUUUUUUUUUAGAAUCAGAUGCCUCAAUGACUCCUAAAGCAGUAAUAUCUCGACCAUAUUCCUCUAUUUCAGUAUGAGGCACGCUUGAAAGAAUUAAUAUCCAAAAUAAUAUGCUGACAUUAUAAACACGAGAGGAGCAGUGUCUCCCAGGUUUAUCUAUGAAGUAACAGUCAGUCUAAGUUACUGAAUACUCCAGUGUGUAUAUAAAUACAUUAGCAGAAGCUGUAAGCACUGUGAAUCUUCAGCCUUGUGAGAAAUCUUCCUAACAGAGAGAUGAACCCUCCACCCGCAGGGAAAAGCUGUAAAUCCAACCACAAAAUGGCUGCCCCGGCCAUUUUGCAGGGCAGGCUGGAUCACUGCUGAGGCCAGCGCCACUCUGGGCCUGCAUGGACACAGAGGGCAAACCGCUGCCUGGCUCCCCGUGGGCUGAGGGUCUGUGGCCAGCACGGGCAGCCCACAUAGAGGAUUUGUAGAGCAGAGGGCUGUGUGCCUGCUCUCUGCCCAGAGCGGAGCAGGACUCUUUGCAGGAUCACCAAAAUUUCUGGAAAUGUUAACUCAGCUGAAUGCUAGUGGCAAAUAAUUGUUCCAUGGCAAAUACUUAUUCACAUCACAAGCAGAAGCCACCUGUACUGGAGAGAGGUGCAGAAAGUUAUUCCACAUCCCCUGCACCCCGAUAUUACUACUAUUAAACUAGUGUUUUACAAAUCAUCCUCUGUUCAGCCACAUAGAUACUGGAGCUAUCCUGCCAUUCUUGGGAAGACAAUGAUCAAGAAGUUUAUGCGGAGGACAGUAACUAUUAACCAAAUAUAUCAUCCCUGACAACUAUUUGUUUCGUAAGAGACCUGAGGGAGGGGAUACAGAUUCUGUAGAAACUUACAGUUAGGGCCAAUUUAAAUGCGUUUAAUUUUCAAGGUGAAGAACUACCACAGAGACACAUAAUGACAAGAAGUGGAAGCCUGGCUGAUUCAAACUCCUGGAAGAAUGGAGCUGGCAUCCUGAAGGGCCUUACACUGCAGUCAUAGAGGGGCUAAAACAAAGAGAUGGUCACCACGGAGGAUAGAAGGUGAGAGGGGGCAGCUGCCCAGUGUAAUGGCCUGUAACUAGGAAUAUUGCAGUUCUAUCUGACAGAAUAACCACUGGCAGAAAAAACAAUUAGCUCAUCCAAUUCUACCGUGUACACAUAAAAUUUAGAAGGAGAGAGACCUAGAAAUCACAGGAGGAUCCUACAGUCAAACUUAUUUCUAUGCACAAAGUUGUUUCCUUCACAUCAAAAGCAUUUUGUAGAGAGAGAGUGCAGAAUAGACAGCGAACCAUGAAGACUGUUCCACUGCUAACUGUCUCACUUGUGUGAAAAUCAGUAUAUAAAUCAGAUAAAAAGAAUUUACUUAUUUAUGCAUUGAAGAUACUCUCUUCAUCUGAUUUACCUUCAUCUGAUGGAGAUGCUUUGCGUAAAGGGAUGCAUUAUGAAGAAAUGCAUUCUGCUAGGAAAGGCUUGAGCUGGAAAUUAAAUCCUGUGCUAAACUUUUCAAGAAGUAUCUACCUUCACUGAACUCUUUUCAUGGUCCUGCUUAUUUCUACUUUAAACUUCUCAUUUAUUGUACUUUAAGCUCCAUCAGUGAAUGUAAAUGGGGUUUCACUAUACGUUUAGUGCAUUCAAGCAUUCUUUGUUACAGUUCCCACCCUGGCGCAUUAUGUGAGCUCUGCCACGGAAGUCCAGCAGUCGGUUUGUUUUCUGCUAUUAAGAAAAGAACCUACUUUUCGCCACUUCUUUGAAGAAGUUGAAAGGGCUACAUGUUAGAGGGGGAGGUGGUGGGGAACAGACUGUGGUGUAAUCCCCAAACGCAAAUGCUGUCUAGAUUAGAAACCUCCCAGAAGAAAAUCUACAAAUGCUAAGACUGUGCUUUUUGUGUGAUGAACAGUAGAGCAAUAACUUAGCCACAUACUGGGUUCUGCCUAAUGCUUAAGGAGCCUACUAGGUGAAAGGAAUUAAAUGAAAAAAAAAAAAAAAAAAUCUUCCAGUUGGCUCUGUGCCGAUGCUAGCCAACCCUUUCAGGACCCAGUGACUUACUAGUGGAACUAUUUUCAUUUGUAUUUCAUCACUGAGGUUUCUUAAUAUAAUACUUUGGAUUCUGUUAAAAUAAAUAUAUGCAAAAAAAUAAAAAAUAAAAAACAAACAAAUAAACAACAACAACAAAAACCCACCUAAUGAGAUUUACACAUUGCCAGUGUUUUUACAGUCCAGGAAAAGCUUAAUUAAAGGGGUGGAACAUGUCUCUGCUGAAUAGCUGUUUUUCCUUCAUACCUUCCCAUGCACAACACGCACACAUCCAAGAAAAGAGGCUGGGGGUGGGGGUGGUGCAAGAAAACCUCCCAAAAACCAUAGCCCAAAUUACCAGCCUUAAACCGCACAGCACAAUCUUAUUGGAUUGCAUGGCCACUUAAAUAAAUAUGUGUCCCUAGCAGAAAAUCAGAACCCGCUUGUAACAACUCACAAGUAGAAGAAAAGUAUAGAAUAUUAUCUGCCUUUUCCCCUGUAGGAUACUUGUAUUAUUCAAAUGAUCGUUUACUGUAUCUAGUUUACCAUGCAAUUACUAAGUAAUCCUUAAUUCCUAAAUUAGCAAGAAUGGGAGUAAUGAUAGCAAUCCCAAAAGCCAACCAGAUAAACUUUAUUGUGUAAUCAACUGGAUGAUUCUCUGAUUUAUUUUAAAUCCUACUUAUUAGAUUAAAAAUGUUUAUACAGAUAAAAUCAUUUUAGCAUUGCUGAUCUUAACAAUCUUAUGUUCACUUACUCUCAUGGGAUUCCAUAGUCCAUCCACCUGUUGUUACUCAGGCACUGUAAGCAAAACAUAGCUUAGCACAAAAAUUAAUACAGUUAGGUGCCGGUAAGAAUAUAACUCAUUGGGUAAGAAUAACUCUGAAUAACUCUGGUGGUGCUGGAGGGUGGAAUAAUGCAGCACUCAACAAACUCUGAAGACGAACUAUUUUAAGUAUCAGGGAAAGAAAAAUGAGGUGAUGAACAUUUUAUAUACAUGGGACAAAAACAAACAAACAAACAAACAAAAAAAAACUAUUUUGUGAGUGAUACAGCUUCAGCUGGCAUUUUUAUAGGGUUCCAGAUAUUUUUUCUGAUACACAUCUCUGCAUGACUACCUAGCUAGCCUAGAUGGUGGAUCUUCUUUUUCCUUUUUUAUUUUUCCUUUUUUUCUUUUUCUUUUUCUUCUUCUUUUUCUUUUGUGCACUACAGACAGUUUCUGUGCAGAGAUGGCUGCAUUUCAGUGUGAAAUUAACUAUCCAGUCAGGAAUUGAGUAUAAUCAUCCUAUGGGCAAAUCAAAAUGAUGGCUACAUUUGCUGCCUACAGAAAUUUUUGCUGCAGUGCAUAUUAACGCACCGAAAAUGCUUUGUUAGCUAAUAGUGAAUGUGCCGAUUUUCAUUACCCAUGGAAAUGUGUAACAUCUUAUGUUAAAUUUCAUUGACAUUUUUCAUCAAGUGUGUAGAGCAAUGCUCUGAAAUGUGAUAAUUGUAGACUCUUGUUGUACAACUUUGAGUAAAAUAUUUGCUCCUCUAAUUCCAGCAGUAAUUAACUUGGAUUGGAAUUCCCCCGACUCAUGUAACAGUCUUCAACAUUAUAUUAAUGGAUCCUAGUGUUUAAAUGGUUUGAAUAGAAAUUCUGUUCCAUAAACAUAACAUUUUAUUAAGGCGCUAAAGAUCUUUGGGUUAAAAAAAAGUAUUGAUCGAAUCACCUUAGCCUGAGCUGUAAAGGAUUUUUCUGGCUUAGAUUUAAAAUGAAUAGUAUCUUGUUGAAACUUAAAACACUUCAGAAAUGAAAUUCUGGAAAAUUGUUGCAUCUCUCUUGAAGACUAAAAAUUAAAGUAGACAAUUAUCAUAAUAAUAAACCAGUUGUACAUGGCAGACAAAAGAGAAGCUAAUACUUCCUUCUCUUUUUUGACUGAUGUUUUGUUGGGCUGUAGCUAAACAGCACUUUAAGUUGACAGUAAAUUAGCAAACAAUAUGAGGGAGGAAAAAAGAAAGAAAAUCAUGCAGGGGUUAAGAUGUUUAUGUAAAACAGUGAUUUUCCUUUUUAAAAUUAAAACGUACAAAUAAGCUGGUGUCAGAGACUAGGUGAUCCUUCAUUUCCACCGCAUUGAGCAGGCUCACAUCAGCAGCAGACAGCCGUUAAUAUAUGCGUCUGGCUCAGUCUGGUCUACCAACUAGGAAUUCAUCGAAUUGUUAAUAUCAUUCCUUUUUUGUAUGCACCACACAUCAUUUUCACUCUCUCUCUCUCUCUCUCUCUCUCCCUCUCCCUCGCUCUCUCUCCCCUUUGCAAGAGCUUGUGUUUUGGUUUUUUGUUUUUGUUGUAGCACAAGCUGAUUACUCUGAAAUCACGUAUUAAGUAGCAUUUAGAAGCAUUUUGUAUUGGAAGAGCAAAAAGUCAUAUAGAAAUAGAAGUAUAUUGAAAUUCUGCAUAUAUAGCUAUGCGUAGUCUACCAGUGAUGUUUCCAUUUAUUUUCACUAACAUAUACAGCUUUCAUACAAUGACAAAGUGUAAAUAAGACUGCUUUUUGUGAGGUGUCUGCAGGCACUGUCGCAUAGUCCCGGGCUGGGGAAAUGUGUUGAUCAUGGUGGCAAUUCUACCCGAGCAAAGGCUUGGUUUCUUCCUUCCCUCCAUCUACCUCUGCCCCAUCACAAGGAGUUUAAUGUGCAGUAGAGGUUGGUUUUGCUGUGUUGAAACGGGGGAAAAAGAGGAAGGAGGUAAAAAGGAAGACAGUGCACCAGCUUCUUCAUCUCUAUGGCAAGGGGCAGCAGCGAGUACUAUGGGCAGAGAGGAGGCACCAGAGCUAUCCCAGUUCAAGCAGUGAUGCAGAGGCAGUACUGUGUAUUCACAGCUUUUGCUGUAGCACCAAAUAAGACAGGUAGGAGUUUCUCAUGGUUAAUUUCAUUUUCACUCUCACUGCAGAGAAAAAAGUACUAGAAAUCUUCACACUGUUAGAGAUGGACAUUUCAUACUAUAGUUUCACAUGCAUUAUACAAUACAGUAUUAAACCAAAAUAAAUACCUAAUAUGAACUAUGCACAUUCAGGUAAAUUUUGCUGACUCAAAAAUAAAUGCAAUCCACAGUCUUUCAUAUCUACAGACGUGCACAUCGUAUAUCUGAUUAAAUAUAUUAGGUUUUUUAUUUUGACAAAUUCUGUGCAUAAUUUAAACUGUAUACCAAUAUGCAUAUACCUACGCGCAAUAUGGUUUUAUCUCAUUAUGUAACUUGAAUGAUCAGAGUGCAUUCACCUGAGCAGUGCCUUAAAUACACCCUUUUCAGGACUAUGAGUAUUACACAUAAUACAUAUCAGCUGCUACCAAACUGCUUUCUUGGCGUAGCACCUAUCUGAGUGAAUUAGUUUUUCACAUACAAAUUCAGAUCUAUUUUUCUAACAUCGUCUGAAUAGAAGUCAGUGGUGUUCAAUAACACAUCUGCAUAAAAAGAAAUUACCUCCAUGACUGAAUGUUUGCAAGUAGCUCUUUUGAGUGUUCUGAGUAUGUGCGAUUGACAGUUUAUGGUGGAAAGAACAGCAUCUUUACAGAAACUGUAUCAUCAUUGUAAUUGGUAAGACUAUUUUUAUGACUAUUUAAGCACUAAUUAUACCUUGAGCAACUUGAAAGCUACGUACAGCGCAUAGUUUCUGCCUCUUAAUAAAACAAGACAACAAGAAAAAGUAUUACUCUAAGAGAUAAGAGCAAUUUAUUUUAACAAAAGUAUUGAUGCUUACAAUAAAACACAAUUCCUCCCACACAAGUGGAAAAAAAACACUGCAGCCAAAAUACCACUUCUGAAAUGAACAAAUAGUUUGGAUGCCUGAUCUGUAUGAAGCCUUUGUCUCAGUGAAGUCUGAUGCAUCAACAAGGUCCUGCAGCAUCUUGGUUUAGACACAGGAAACAAGAGAAAAAUGAAUUAGAACUAACCCACCUAUAAACUGUUAAGAAAAACAAAUCAAACUAUGCACGACAGAUCAGAAGUUUAAGAGCAAUGAAUGGCACAGAACAACUCAUGCCCCUGUAAAUCUUCCUAUGCAAAGUCAGUGAAGUACUUAGCAUAUUGGGGACAACCUAAAACACAGUAUGCUGUUGAGGCUGAGUCCUAUUCUCAGAGUACUGCCGACUCCAUUGAAAUUUAACAGGUACACAGAAUGUGACUGUGAGUGAAGUGAUAUUAAUGCUGUAGUAUGAUUUUUACACCAAUGUUCUCGAUCAGAUUAAAAUUUAAACUGAGACAAUAUUUUUAAAUGUGAUAUCGUGUCCUCACUUAGACAAAGAAAAAUAAUGGUAACUACUAUAAAACAGUCUUUGUCCCGUAUUACAGGAAAAGCUAAGCAACAGUUUUCCUGUAGACUGAAAUCAUUACUUAACCAUCAAAAGAAUGAAUGCUUUCUAGGCCUCAAACAUCAGCAUUCGUGCUUUAUGUUUUAAAAGUUAGUUAAAUGCUGUAGCAAUACAGCUGAAAAUACACUUUGUGAUAAUCAUCUACCAGAAAUGUCUGUAAUGAUAAUGUUAUGUUAUGGUUGAAAACCUUUGGUAUAUUUUAGUACCUGGUGGGUUGGUAGGUUUUUUUUUUCUUUGUUUGUUUGUCUGUUUUUGAUUUUUUGUUGUUGUUCUUUUGGUUCUUUUUUGAGGUAUGAACUGGCAUUCAGUUUAAAUUUUAAUAGUAAAUGUUACAUUGCAUCCAGUCCAGUUUUCUAAACACAAACAGGUAGCAUGCUAAAGCUGCACAAAGGAUAACAGCUUUUUUUUCUUUUAGGAACAGGUCUGCUGCUUAACAUUUGGAAUAUUUUCCAAUAUAUUAACAAAGGUCUAUUUUCCUUUUUCCCUUCCAGACAGGGAAAGCUCCUUUGGCUCUCUAAAUUCUGCAGAGAAACAAUCAUAGUCCAAAGCUGCUGGUUCCCCUCCGCCUAGGUCCCAAGAGCCUGACUUGUGAUUGUUGCUACAAAACCUCACAAGUUAGGGUCUCAGGGACUAGGAAAAGUCUGAUAUGAUCCAGUAGAAUUCGUCUUCCAAUAAUCUGAAUUGCUUAGUAGUCAUAAUUGCUGUCAGCAAAACUUUCACUGCUAUUAUUAAAAAAACAAAACAAAACAAAACAAAAAAAAACCCAACCAAACAAAAACAACACACAACAACACCAAACCAAAACCAAAACAAAAAGCAACCACCCCCCACCAC
ensembl:lncRNA